GAUGAAGAACGUAGCGAAAUGCGAUACUUGGUGUGAAUUGCAGAAUCCCGUGAACCAUCGAGUCUUUGAACGCAAGUUGCGCCCGAAGCCAUUAGGCCGAGGGCACGCCUGCCUGGGCGUCACACGUCGUUGCCCCCCCAUCUACUCCUUCGGGAUUGCGGGGGGCGGAUGAUGGCCUCCCGUGCGCCUCGUCGCGCGGUUGGCAUAAAUGCCAAGUCCUCGGCGACGCACGCCACGACAAUCGGUGGUUGCGAAACCUCGGUUGCCCGUCGUGUGCGGUCGUCGCGCAUCGAGGGCUCGAUAAAAUUGUCGGGCUCCGGCUCGGCUUUCAACGCGACCCCAGGUCAGGCGGGGUUACCCGCUGAAUUUAAGCAUAUCAAUAAGCGGAGGA
rnacentral:misc_RNA from 1 species